GAUGAAGAACGCAGCGAAAUGCGAUAAGUAAUGUGAAUUGCAGAAUUCAGUGAAUCAUCGAAUCUUUGAACGCACAUUGCGCCCGCCAGUAUUCUGGCGGGCAUGCCUGUUCGAGCGUCAUUACAACCCUCAGGCCCCCGGGCCUGGCGGUGGGGAUCGGCAGAAGCCCCCUGUGGGCACACGCCGUCCCUCAAAUACAGUGGCGGUCCCGCCGCAGCUUCCAUUGCGUAGUAGCUAACACCUCGCAACUGGAGAGCGGCGCGGCCAUGCCGUAAAACACCCAACUUCUGAAUGUUGACCUCGAAUCAGGUAGGAAUACCCGCUGAACUUAAGCAUAUCAAUAAGCGGAGGA
rnacentral:misc_RNA from 1 species